CGUUGUUCGCUCCGUUCGUGCCUAGCCGAGCCGGCAGCACAUAAUCGACAGAAGGCGUGGCUGGCGCGGCGGGGAAACCGCGUUCGAGUGGCCCAACAGGGAGCGUCAUCGAGACCUGCGCUUCACAGAGGACCGAGAGGCUGAGCGAUGGCACUCUUGUGUGCGGGAUGUCAGGCGCCGCUCAGGACCCCACUUUCUCCUGGCAUGUGGCAUGGCACCAACUAUGGCACGUUUGUGGACACUCGGACAUCCCGACUUCAACAGUGUACAACAGUGACAUCUUUCCGAUCCUUCAACAUCGCAUUUACUUACACUUGACAUCUAUGCAUAUUGUAGAUUUUCGCAUGCACUAACAACGGCAUUCUUCUUUCUUUAGAGACCUAUAAACUGAAAGGCGUGCUUUCUAUUUGACCAUGCUUGCAACAGUUGAGCAGGCCCUACAUAUCCCUAUUCAAAAAGACAAGGUUUCUCAAACUUAAAGGCUCCCAGAUUUGGUUUUUGUUGUACAUAAGAGUGUUGCCUAUACAUAGAGA